rnacentral:rRNA from 1 species
UUAUACCGUGAAACUGCGAAUGGCUCAUUAAAUCAGUUAUCGUUUAUUUGAUAAUACCUUACUACUUGGAUAACCGUGGUAAUUCUAGAGCUAAUACAUGCUGAAAAUCCCGACUUCGGNAAGGGAUGUGUUUAUUAGAUAAAAAACCAAUGCCCUUCGGGGCUUUUUGGUGAUUCAUGAUAACUUUACGGAUCGCAUAGCCUUGCGCUGGCGACGGUUCAUUCAAAUUUCUGCCCUAUCAACUUUCGAUGGUAAGGUAUUGGCUUACCAUGGUUUCAACGGGUAACGGGGAAUUAGGGUUCGAUUCCGGAGAGGGAGCCUGAGAAACGGCUACCACAUCCAAGGAAGGCAGCAGGCGCGCAAAUUACCCAAUCCCGACACGGGGAGGUAGUGACAAUAAAUACUGAUACAGGGCUCUUUUGGGUCUUGUAAUUGGAAUGAGUACAAUUUAAACCUCUUAACGAGGAACAAUUGGAGGGCAAGUCUGGUGCCAGCAGCCGCGGUAAUUCCAGCUCCAAUAGCGUAUAUUAAAGUUGUUGCAGUUAAAAAGCUCGUAGUUGAAACUUGGGCCUGGCUGGCGGGUCCGCCUCACCGCGUGCACUCGUCCGGCCGGGCCUUCCUUCUGAAGAACCUCAUGCCCUUCACUGGGCGUGCUGGGGAAUCAGGACUUUUACUUUGAAAAAAUUAGAGUGUUCAAAGCAGGCCUUUGCUCGAAUACGUUAGCAUGGAAUAAUAAAAUAGGGCGUGCGUUUCUAUUUUGUUGGUUUCUAGAGACGCCGCAAUGAUUAACAGGAACAGUCGGGGGCAUCAGUAUUCAGUUGUCAGAGGUGAAAUUCUUGGAUUUACUGAAGACUAACUACUGCGAAAGCAUUUGCCAAGGAUGUUUUCAUUAAUCAGUGAACGAAAGUUAGGGGAUCGAAGACGAUCAGAUACCGUCGUAGUCUUAACCGUAAACUAUGCCGACUAGGGAUCGGGCGAUGUUCUUUUUCUGACUCGCUCGGCACCUUACGAGAAAUCAAAGUUUUUGG